AGCUCAUCCUGGCCAGCGGAGCUUGCCGCGGGUCCCUGGCGUCCCCUCCGGCGCGCUCUUGGAGCCACUUCCCGGAGCGGAAGUCUGUCUGCUCGGACUCCGGUGGGACCUGCUCGGAGGAAUGGCGCCGCCGGGUUCAAGCGCUGUCUUCGUGUUGGCCCUGGCAGUCGUAGCCAGCACCCAGGCUCUGACACCCACCCACUACCUCACCAAGUAUGAUGUGGAGAGACUGAAAGCCUCCCUGGAUCGCCCUUUCACAAAUUUGGAGUCUGCCUUCUACUCCAUAGUGGGACUCAACAGCCUCGGGGCACAAGUGCAAGAUGUCAAGAAAGCGUGCACCUUCAUCAAGUCUAACCUUGAUCCCAGCAAUGUGGAUUCUCUCUUCUAUGCUGCCCAGUCCAGCCAGGUCCUCUCAGGCUGUGAGAUAGCUGUUUCAAACGAGACCAAAGAUUUUCUUCUGGCAGCAGUAAGUGAAGACUCCUCUGUCACCCAGAUCUACCAUGCAGUUGCAGCACUCAGUGGUUUUGGCCUGGCCGUGGCUUCCCAUGAAGUUCUUGGUGCCCUUACUGCUCGUCUCAGCAAGGAGGAGACUGUGCUGGCAACGGUCCAGGCUCUACAGACAGCAUCCCACCUAUCCCAGCAGGCUGACCUGAGGAACAUCGUAGAGGAGAUUGAGGACCUGGUUGCUCGCCUGGAUGAACUAGGGGGCGUGUAUCUCCAGUUUGAGGAAGGACUGGAAACCACAGCAUUGUUUGUGGCUGCCACCUACAAGCUCAUGGACCAUGUGGGGACUGAACCAUCCAUGAAGGAGGAUCAGGUCAUCCAGCUGAUGAACACAAUCUUCAGCAAGAAGAACUUUGAGUCACUCUCAGAAGCCUUCAGUGUGGCCUCUGCUGCUGCUGCAUUGUCCCAGAAUCACUACCACGUACCAGUGGUGGUUGUGCCUGAGGGCUCUGCUUCUGACACUCAAGAACAAGCUAUCCUGCGGUUGCAAGUCAACAAUGUUUUGUCUCAGCCUCUGGCUCAAGCUGCAGUUAAGCUGGAGCAUGCUAAGUCUGUGGCUUCCAGAGCUACUGUUCUGCAGAAGAUGCCCUUCUCACUCACAGGCAGAGAUGUUUUUGAGCUGAACUUCAAGAAUUUUAAACUUUCCAGUGGCUACUAUGACUUUUCUGUCAGAGUUGAAGGUGACAACCGCUACAUUGCAAACACUGUAGAGCUUAGAGUCAAGAUCUCUACUGAAGUUGGCAUCACGAAUGUUGAUCUUUCCACUGUGGAUAAGGAUCAGAGCAUUGCACCCAAAACUACCCGGGUGACCUACCCAGCCAAAGCCAAGGGUCCAUUCAUCGCCGACAGCCACCAGAACUUCGCCCUGUUUUUCCAGUUGGUAGAUGUGAACACCGGUGCAGAGCUCACCCCUCACCAGACAUUUGUCCGGCUUCAUAAUCAGAAGACUGGCCAGGAAGUGGUGUUCGUUGCUGAGCCGGAUAACAAGAAUGUGUAUAAGUUUGAACUGGACACCUCUGAAAGGAAGAUUGAGUUUGAUUCUGCCUCUGGCACCUACACUCUCUACCUAAUCAUCGGAGAUGCCACUUUGAAGAACCCAAUCCUCUGGAAUGUGGCGGACGUCAUUAUCAAGUUCCCUGAAGAAGAAGCUCCCUCUACUGUCUUGUCUCAGAACCUUUUUACCCCAAAACAGGAAAUUCAGCACCUGUUCCGAGAGCCUGAGAAGAGGCCCCCGACGGUGGUAUCCAAUACAUUCACGGCCCUCAUCCUCUCUCCCUUGCUCCUGCUCUUUGCACUGUGGAUCCGGAUUGGUGCCAAUAUCUCCAACUUCACUUUCGCUCCUAGCACAAUUAUCUUUCACCUGGGACAUGCUGCAAUGCUGGGGCUCAUGUAUGUCUACUGGACUCAGCUCAACAUGUUCCAGACCCUGAAGUACCUGGCUGUCCUGGGCACUGUGACAUUUCUGGCUGGCAAUCGAAUGCUGGCCCAGCAGGCAGUUAAGAGGUGUUUCUCGCUGAUUUCACUUCAUUAGAGCCUGACUGACUUCAGCCACGCAAAGGCCAGUAAGAAAAGGAUCGCAGCAGAGCAGAGCAGUAGAUUGGCAAAAUAUAGGACACUACGAACAGCACAUUAGUUCCAGAAGAAGGUUGAAGGCCCUGAAAACUGAAAUGAAUGUUUAACAAGGAGUAGAGACAAUUCAUAGUGUGAAAAGAGGAAUGAUGGUAAAACAAAACAGAAAGUGAAAAAAAAUCUGUUAUUUAAAAAGAACAAAGUUGAGACGUGGUUACGCUUUUAUUUGUUUUUUACUUUCUGCUUCACAGAGCAGGUAUGUCUGGGCUCACGUUGUCUGUCCCUUUGUCAUGAUGCCUGGCAAGAUGCUGUGAAUACCCCAGAUGUUGCAUUUGAAAGAUUGAAGUCUGUAAUUCAUCUGCCUGAAUAAAGAGAAUGGUGAUAGAAAUGAA